rnacentral:rRNA from 1 species
UACAGAGGUCCCGAGCGUUGUUCGGAUUCAUUGGGCGUAAAGGGUGCGUAGGUGGUUGUGCAAGUCUGAUGUGAAAUCUCCGGGCUCAACCCGGAAAUGGCAUUGGAAACUGCAUGGCUAGAGGGUUGGAGGGGGGACUGGAAUACUUGGUGUAGCAGUGAAAUGCGUAGAUAUCAAGUGGAACACCAGUGGCGAAGGCGAGUCCCUGGACAACACCUGACACUGAGGCACGAAAGCUAGGGGAGCAAACAGG